AAGGAGAAAGGUAUGGGUACCGAUAUGGGUGCAGAGCAAAGCAUUGCAAGGGAAGGUCACGGGAAAAUUUCGACCCCCUCUGGAUUUCCCUGUGAGCACACCGGGUUUGCAUAGAGGUUGGUAUCAAUACAAAUCCAAUCAGCUCUGCCUCUCCUCCCCAAAAGAUACCAAGAGCCGCUAACACUGGUGGGCCUGGGAAACCCACGGGAGGAACCAGGUCACUACUCCCCCAAUCGGUUAAGGCCCACCCUCAAUAA